UACGUAGGGUGCAAGCGUUGUCCGGAAUUAUUGGGCGUAAAGAGCUCGUAGGCGGUCUGUCACGUCGGCUGUGAAAACUCGGGGCUCAACUCCGAGCCUGCAGUCGAUACGGGCAGACUAGAGUUCGGUAGGGGAGACUGGAAUUCCUGGUGUAGCGGUGAAAUGCGCAGAUAUCAGGAGGAACACCAAUGGCGAAGGCAGCUCGCUGGAACGGUACUGACGCUGAGGCGCGAAAGCGUGGGGAGCAAACAGG
rnacentral:rRNA from 1 species